rnacentral:lncRNA from 1 species
GUUUCCAUCAAAAGAAAAAAAAUACAUUUUAACCAUAGUUAUUUGCUUGUAUUAUAUACUUAAAACUUCAUAAGUUUGUAGUUGUAUUUGCUACAUUUUAAUAGUAUUUUUAUAAUCAUUGUAGAAAAUGCCUUUUAUAAGAAAAAUUUCCUUCUACCUCUUUGACUUAAUAUAGUAUUAUAUGUUUUUGGACUGCAUGACAAAAUUCAAGACAACUUUGUAAAUACCAGUUACCCUUGUCAUUUGAAAAUAACUAGUUUUGCCAGGUGCUCUGGGUCUCAAGAAAGUAUAAAUUUGUAAAUAUUUCAUUGUAAAACUCCAUAGUUAAAUUGAUUGCUGUAAAUGCUUUUACAGUCCAUUGGUUAAUUAAUAUAAAGACAAACAUUUUGCUGUUUUGUGAGAGAGCAAUAGUUAAAUUGUCUGUAUCUCCUCACUGAUCAGGAUCAUUGCUGUUUGUGUGCAUUAUAUAUUUAAACAAUUACCCUGGCAUACAGUUUGACCUCAGGUACCAAGUAGAAGAUAUGAGAAGGAAAUUCCCAUUUUAAAAAAGAGACAGAGAGUUAAAAAGAUUGGUACAAUUAUUGUUACCUGGCUGUAUUUAUUCUCUGCAAAUUUACUUGCAUGUACAUGCAUUUAAAAUCAUGUUUUAGUUAAAUAGUUGGGAUAUUUCUCAUUCCAGCUUUUCUCAUUUGUUUGUUUAAUGAUUUAUAUUUUAUUUUACUUUAAUUUUUAUAUUUUUGCUUGGGAUUGUUCCGAGAGACUCAUGAAUGAUAUAGGCUUGUGCUCUGCCACUACGCUAUAUCCCCAGGCCUUUUUAUUUUACAAAUGAUGAAACUUUUAUUUUUUAAGCUUGAACAUAUUUCUAGAAUCCAAUUUAUUAUUAUUUCUAACUAUAAUUUUAUAGUAAUACUAAGCUCUAUUACUUUGAAUUCCAAAUCUGUUUCCAUGUUUGUAUAUCCCUGUGAGAACAAAACAACAAUAAUUAUGAAUAGUUUGGUUUUUCUGAUAUUAUUUUUGAAAUUUUCUUGUGACCUAUAUAUAAUUCAUGUAUGUGAUAAUCAAAGACAAGUCAUGUGUUACCUGUUACAUAAAGAAGGAUUUUUUUAAAUAAAAAUUCUGGUGUUGAUCAAAGUAUAAAUCCUCAUUUUUUGAAUAGAAUUUGGUAUAGAUCAUCAAAUUCUGUGGGUAUAAAAUAUUUUAAAUGUAAUAAUUGGCUAUUGGAAUAGCCAAUUCCAAAUGUUGGAAUACUUAAACAUUUGCUAGGAGGAAAGUAUUAUGUGUUUACUUUAAAAACAUAAUGUAAACAACUGAAAUAUCAACCAGUGAAAGAAAGAUUGUAUUUAUUAUAGCUUACUCAACAUCAAUGUAACUUUUGCACAGAAAUAUUUCAAUAUUGAUGUAGGUUUUGAAGUAUUUUGAGUUGAACAGAUAUUGAAUAAUUGUUUGUUAUAGAUUUGAAUGCUUAUGCCUCUUUGUCCUAGCUGAAGUAUUAAUGGUUAACUAUAAAAUAUUUAUAACAUUUUGGAAAUGAGAUUUUUAUAGUGAGGUAAUAUUUCCUAUUGUUAAAAUGUUAUUUUAUAAUUCUGUUGGCAUUUUUAUAUAUGAGUUAAAAUUCAAAAGAUGCAUCCACAGUUGUAAAUUGCUACGUGAAAAAAAUCUAAAAUGAAUAUGUCUAAUGGAAAUAGAAAAAUUGUCUGGAAGAAUAAGGUAAAAACUUACCAGUCCUCUGUAGAGAGAUGAGAAUAGAAGGAGUGUUUCUUUUACCUUCUUUUGGUUUUUAUAAAGGUAUUAAAAUAUGAACAACUAAACAAGAAAGAAGUGUUAAGGAGACAGUUUGUACGUAUUUUCAUUCUUGCAACUCACCAUCGUUGGAGCAUUUGGUUGUCAUAUCCAGCUUUGUCUUCCCAGAGGCCUUUGUGAAUGAUUUUUUUCAAUGAUUUUAUGAAGAGUAUGCAAUUUAAGAGAAUAAAUAGUAUUGGAUUAUCCAAGAAAAGAAGGAAGAAGAUGGAAUUAUAGGUAGGUGCCAAGCAGUUGUAUUUUGAUAAACAAAUGAGUAAAAAAUAGAACUAAAAAUUCUGUAAAGUGAGUGAAUUUUAAUAACAAGAUCAUAUUUACAGGGACUAAUUAGAGAUAUUGUAGAGAUGUUGCAUUUGAUGUAAAAGCAUGUAACCACAUGCUUUACCACUGAACCUUGUUUCUAGGCUUCUUAUUUAAUUUUGAUUUGAAUGAAGAAUGGAUUGUUUGUUUGCUUGUUUUUUCCUUUGGUUCAUUGUGCUGAAAGAUUUCAAAUAAGAUUUUAGUAUUUUAUAGAUCACACAAAAUUAGCAGGGGAAAUAUUUGAAUAUUUUUGGCAUUUGUGCUAACCAUGUUGGCUAAAAUAGAAAGUGUUUUUUGCAAUUGUGUUUGCUGAUUGAAUAUGCCUGAUCAACAUGAUGUUAUCCUGAUUUAUAUGUUCUUAUGCUUGGUUCAUAUCUAUCCAUUGCUCAUUGAAUGUUUUAUUUUUCAGGUAUUCACAAUGAGAGAUAUAUUGAAGGUAACUUGAGUACAGCUGAUGAAAUCAUCAGGAAUAUCUUGCUUUGGAGUCCUUAAUUUUUACAUCUUAACUGCAAAGCAUAGGUAAGAAGAUUCUGGUGCCAUUUUCAGGUGAGACAUUAAAUAAGCUCAGGAAACUAGUUCUGAUAUACACACUUUCCUGUGGAAUUUUUUUUUAAUUCUGAUUUGUUACACAUGAUGGCAGAAUGCAAUUCAUUUCAUAUUAUAAAUAUAGAGCACAAUUUUUCAAGAAACUGGGUGUACACAAAGUAUUUUCACACCAUUCAUGUCUUAUACAAGUACUUAGGGUAAUGAUGUCCAUCUCAUUCCCCCAUCUUUCCUACCCCUUUGCCCCUCCUUUCCCCUCCUUCCCCAUUGCCCUAUCCCUCCAUUCCUCCCAUGCUCCCCACUCCCCCCAGUUGCUAUUAUGCAUCUGCAUCUUCAUAUCAAAGAAAAUAUUCAGCCUUUGUUUUGGGGGGAUUGGCUUGCUUCACUUAGCAUUAUAUUCUCCAACUUCAUCAAUUUACCUGCAAAUGCUGUGAUUUUAUUCUCUUUAAAUGCUGAGUAAUGUUCCAUUGUGUAUAUAUGCCAAAGUUUCCCUAUCUAUUUAUCUAGUGAAGGGCAUCUAGGUUGGAUCCCUAAUUUAGCUAUUGUGAAUUGUGCAGCUAUAAACAUUGAUAUGGCUGAGUCCUUUGGGUAUAAACCGAGAGAAGUGGGAUAGCUGGGUCAAAUGGUGGUUCCAUUCCCUGUUUUCCAAGGAAUAUUCAUACUGCUUUCCGGAUUGGCUGCACCAAUUUGCAGUCCCACCAGCAAUGUAUGAGUGCACCUUUCUCCCCACAUCCUCACCAACACUUAUUGUUGUUUGCAUUCUUAAUAGCUACCAUUCUCACUGGAGUGAGAUGAAAUUUCAGAGUAGUUUUGAUUUGCAUUUCUCUAAUUGCUAGAGAUGUUGAACAUUUUUCAUAUAUUUGUUGAUUAAUUGUAUAUCUUCUUCUAAGAAAUGUCUGUUCAUUUCCUUGGCCCAUUUAUUGAUUGGGUUAUUUGUGUUUUUGGUGUUAAGGCUUUUGAUUUCUUUAUAUAUCCUGGAGAUUAGUAAUCUGUCUUAUGUGCAAGUGGUAAAGAUUUGCUCCCAUUCUGUAGGCUCUCUAUUCACCCCACUGAUUGUUCCUUUUGCUGAGAAGAAGUUUUUUAGUUUGAAUCCAUUCCAUUUGUUAAUUCUUGGGUUUAAUUUUUGCACUACAGGAAUUUUACUAAGAAAGUAGGGCCUAAUCCGACAUGAUGAUGAGUUUUGGGCCUACUUUUUCUUCCAUUAGGUUCAAGGUCUCUGGUUUAAUUCCUGUGUCCUUGAUCCACUUUGAGUUGAGUUUGUGCAUGGUGAGAAAUAGAGGUUUAAUUUCAUUUUGUUAAAUGUGGACUUCAGUUUUCUCAGCAAGAUUUGUUGAAGAGACUAUCUUUUCUCCAGUGUACAUUUUUGGCACCUUUGUCUAAUGUAAGAUAAUUGUAAUUAUAUAGGUUAGUCUCUGUGUCCUCUGUUCUGUACCAUUUGUCUACAAGUCUAUUUUGGUGCCAAUAGUAUGCUAUUUUAGUUACUAUUGCUCUGUAGUAUAGUUUUAGGUCUGGAAUAGUAAUGCCACCUGCUUCAUUCUUUUUGCUAAGGAUUGCUUUGCCUACUCUGGGUCUCUUAUUUUUCCAGAUGAAUUUCAUGAUUGCUUUUUCUAUUUCUAUAAGGAAUGCCAUUGGGAUUUUGAUUGGUAAAUAGAUUUGUCUUUUUUAUUUUUUGCAGUUUGGGGGGAUAGAACUCAGGGCUUUAUGUAUUUUAGGAAAAACAAUCUGCCACUGAUUACUUCACCAGCCCCUGAAUUAGUUGAUCAAAAGGUAGUAAAGGUGUUAUGUGUGUGCACACAGUGUGCCAUUUGUUUAUUUUACUUAUUAGCAACCAUGACAACAUAACUAAUUCCAUAAAGUAAGUGACCAAAUGUUUAAUUAAGAAAUUGAGCUGGGCGUGGUAGCUCAUGCCUAUAAUCCCAGUGGCUUGGGAGAUGGAGGCAGGAGGAUCCUGAGUUCAAAGCCAUCCUCAGCAAUUCAGUGAGGCACUAAGCAACUCAGUGAGACCCUGUCUCCAUAAAAUACAAAAUAGGGCUAGAGAUGUGGCUCAGUGGUUGAGUGCUCCGGAGUUCAAUCCCUGCUACCCCAAAACAAAAAUUAAAACAAAACAAAAACAACAUAACAAAAAUUAAAACAAAACAAAAACAACAUAACUAAUUCCAUAAAGUAACAACAACAAAAAGAAAUUGAUAAUAUAUUUGCUUUUGCAAAUAACAGUACUAUGACAAAAAGAUAAUUUUAUGGAAACCAGCAUAAUUGCUAACUGAAGUAGUGAAUCAUGACUUAUGUUAAAGUUAACUCAGCUGUAGGGUUGAUUAACAAGACAGUACUUGUAACUGUUAAUUGACAUUUCUAAAAAUAUUAAACAUGAAUAUUCACUUACCCUACUACCUUAGCAGUUCUUCAGAGUGAUAUGCUUAAAUUGUUUUGUUUUUCUUGUUAACAGAUGAUAGUUUCAAGAAAGAAUACUUCUAUCAUCCUUGGUUUUAAUCCUGUGAAUGAUAUGUACUAGCAAUGAAAGAUCUGUUGGAGUAAUUUAAUUCAUGUGUUCUUCACUCCUAUCUCUCACUUGGCGGUAUGACUAUAAGGGCCACUGACUGCCCAUUUGGUGGGGAAUGGGGUGCUUUAGUGAUAUACGUUUAUUUAUAUAGCCUGUUUUUCCUAAGUUUAAUGGCUCUUUGAUGUUACUAGUUUGCAGUAGCAUGUGUUGAGGUUGAAUAUCCUGAAACAGUUUUAUAUGGUGUCAACUAUUGUGUUGUGGGUCAACCCUUUUUUAACAACGUCCACAUGAUUUUUAUGUUAUGUUCUCUUUAUAGCUCCAUCAAAGCCUCUCUCUCAUUUUUUUAACAGAAAUAUUUUUUUGGGGGGUGGGAAUCAGGGAUUGAAUUCAGAGGCACUCAACCACUGAGCCACAUCAUCAGCCCUAUUUUGUAUUUUAUUUAGGACAAGGUC